UACGUAGGGUGCGAGCGUUGUCCGGAAUUAUUGGGCGUAAAGAGCUCGUAGGCGGUGUGUCGCGUCGGCCGUGAAAACCUGGGGCUUAACUCUGGGCGUGCGGUCGAUACGGGCAUCACUGGAGUUCGGCAGGGGAGACUGGAAUUCCUGGUGUAGCGGUGAAAUGCGCAGAUAUCAGGAGGAACACCGAUGGCGAAGGCAGGUCUCUGGGCCGAUACUGACGCUGAGGAGCGAAAGCGUGGGGAGCGAACAGG
rnacentral:rRNA from 1 species